rnacentral:rRNA from 1 species
AUGGGGCAAGGCCCCCGCCCGCCAUCCCCCCGCACCGCCGCGCACUCCCCGGCAAAGGCAGCACAUCAAUGUGCCGGUGCACCCGGCCGAGUGGCACUGGCAGCAUCGCGUGCCUCUGCCGUACCCCGACGCUGCCGCAUGACUGGCAUUUGGAUCCGGAGAGGAUCCCAGUGCCGGCGGCGCCGCGGUCGGCGAGGGCCAUGCGGAGGAGGUGCAGCGCCGGCGGGCGUUGCUGACGCCGGAGCAGCGCGCCGAACCGCAGUACGCCGUCGACUCGCCCAACUGGGCUCGAUGGUUCGCCUUCGAGCACGAGGAGGCGAGACGACGCGGUGUCCGCGGCGUCGACCGCAGCCUGCAGCCGCCCCCGCUCGUCGUCCGCGACGAGGACCAGGAGGCCGAGGCCGCCUACUAGGCGGCCAUUAA